AUGUUGUUUGGAGGUGAAAAUGAUCGACUCAGCUCCCUGAUCCAUCAGUAUCCCCGUACUUGUGAAAGUUAAACAAAAUGAGAUAUCAUUGUGAAUAUCUGUUCUGGAUAUUGGUCUCUUUGCAUUUAUUUUUAUUAUUUUUUUCUCAGGUGGAUUCUUUUCUUGGGUGCAUUAUACAUGUUUGCUUCAUGCAGGAUUAACAGACUGAACUCUGCUAGUUAUCUUUCUUUAAUAAGGCAAUAAUAAUGUAAAACUGAUUAUUACUGAGAAUGAAUCUUCUUCGUCUUCUUCGACAACAGUUUGUACGCUUCUUCUUUUGUUACUAGUCCUACAUGGCUUUAUCAGAGCCCUGAUCAAUCUCAAGGUUGGAUUUUUACUCUUUUUUACUUCCCUUAGAUGCUUUACAGUGUCAAGUUGGAAACAAUUUAUGUCUCAAUUUGAGUUUGAGGGUGUGGUGGUGCUGCAGUUGUAGACCAGUCUGGAGAGAAUGUACUCAAUCUAUUCCUCUGUUUUUCAACGACUAUAUGAAGCCCAUAGUGUUAAUACGAGUGAGAGCUUUGCUGCAGGUGAGACAAUCCCUCGGUUCCUGUUCUAGAGCAACAUCAAGACUAUAAUCGAUAGCCACUCUAU
rnacentral:lncRNA from 1 species